AAGCGCAAAACCAUAACAGAAAAAUUAGAAAAGCCCUUCCGCCGAAAGCGAAACACUCGGUGGGCUUUUUGGAUCGUUUUCGCGCUCCCUCCUCCUCCUCCUCCUCCUCAUUUCUCUCUCUCUCUCUCUCUCCUCCGUUUAGCUGACGCCGGCGAUGGAGGAGCAACGCUCUCUCUUCCACCGCUACCGCCGCGAUCGCCGCAAGCUUCUGGAGUUUCUCUUGUCUUCUUCGGCGUCCUCCUCGUCGCUUUCUCACAUCAAUUUCGAUACUCUCAGCGCCGAUUAUGUCAUCAAUCGCGUCAAAUCCGGUGGGGUGGUGGAUAUAUCUGAAGCCACCAAGACGUACUUCCAUGAAUCUUCGUAUCCUCCAAUGACUCAUUCGAAAUUAGGGGAUUCCUUUCUUCUACAUACUGCUCCAGAUGAUUCUGGAUCACCUCCUAGGCGUGCGCCUCCAUCAGUUCCAUCUAGAAAGCCGGGUUCGUUGAAAGUUGAGAACAUUGAAAGGAAUGGUGACGACCAUGGUUUUAAAUAUAGAGCCUCACCCAGCACACGUCCAAGGCCUAUUGAAAACUUUAAAAUUGUUUCAUUGGGAUUGCCUAGUCUGAAAACAGGAUUAUCUGAUGAUGACUUGCGGGAGUCAGCAUACGAAAUAUUGCUUGCAUCUAUGGCAACAUCUGGGAUUGUAAUCUGUUCAGUUGAAGAUCAAAGGAAACAUAGGCCUUCCAGAUUGCUGUCAGGAUUAAAGAGUAGAAAGGAUAAACCAAAUGUGCAGUCGCAGCCUCUUGAUAAAAACUUACGGCUGAUCCGCACCAUCCGUGUGCAGAUGCAGAUUUCUGAAGCAAUGGAUGAGUGCACUAGACAGAAGAUGAUGAUGUUAUCGCCAGGGAGAACGCGGGUGCAGAUCGAUAUUCCUCAAAUUGUGUUGGGGCUUUUGAAUUUCACUUUUAAGUCUGAUUUUUCAAAUGAAAAGUCUUAUAUGCAAUGGAAGAAUAGACAGGCAAGUAUCUUAGAAGAACUUCUCUGCUUUUCUCCUAAUCUUGUGGCGCAUGAUCAUCUAACUAUUAAGCGUUCUCUUGCUAUGAUUAGAAAUGCAAAGGAGUGGGACUUUAUGUCUUCUUCUGGAAAGGCAGAGGUUAUAUCAGUUAUCAAACAGGCAGCUUUAACGCUGUCAUCUCUUCCAGGACGCUUUGAUCUCCAAAGUGAGACCUAUUAUUGGACUUCUGCAUAUCACUUGAAUAUUAGGCUUUAUGAGAAACUACUUCUUGGUGUAUUUGAUGUUCUUGAUGAAAGCCAGCUGAUAGAGGAAGCUGAUGAGUUGCUGAUGCUCUUGAAGUUGACAUGGUCUACUUUAGGCAUCACUCAAAAAAUGCAUGAUGCAAUAUAUAUGUGGGUCCUUUUCCAACAGUUUGUUGGAACAGAUGAGGCUCUGCUAUUAGAAUAUGCAACGGUGGAGUUGCAGGAGCUUAUAUCAGCUAAAGUUGAUGAUGAGAAUGUAAGGCUAUAUAUGAAUAGCUUGCUAUGUUCAAUCCACUGCAACGCCGUCGAGAUAAAGUUAAGUUUGGUUGAUGCUGUCUUCUACUCUUUAAGCAUUUGGUGUGAGAGUAAACUACAAGACUAUCAUCUGCAUUUCAGUCAGCAACACAGUCACUUAAAGAGGGUGAUGAGCUUAGUGUCAGCAGUUGGCGUUCUUAAUUUCAGUGAUAGUGGUCAUAUGAAGUUGAGGAGGUUCAAUCUCAAUACGGAUGCUGCUAAAAUACUUGAGUCAUAUGUGAAAAGGUCAAUUGAAGCUGCAUACAGGCGGGUAGCAAGUAACAUAGAUCACUUAUCAGAAGUGGAAAAGAAACAUCCUUUGGGUGUGCUUGCAAAUGAACUGAAGUUGAUUGCUGAGAGAGAACUAAAUGUGUUCUACCCGGAACUAUGCAAAUGGUGCCCUAAUUCUGGGAUGAUUGCAGCUAUGAUGUUGCACCAGAUUUAUUGGGAAAGGCUGAAACCCUUUCUGGAUGGAGUGUCAUCUCUUUCUGAAGAUGUUAAAGCCGUGCUUCCAGCUGCUGAUUUGUUGGAUCAAGUCGUAACUCAGCUUUACAAUACUGGUAAUGGAGAAAAUUGUGAAGAUCUGCACCAUUAUCCGAUUGGUGAAGUUGCUAAACCUAUCAUUCUUGAUUGGGUGAUUGCUCAGCAUGAACGCAUCUUGGAAUGGACUGGACGUGCUUUUGAUCUUGAGAAGUGGGAGCCUUUGUCAUCUCAGCAAAGACAGGCAACAUCGAUAGUUGAAGUGUUUAGAAUUAUAGAGGAGACUGUGGAUCAAUUAUUUGGUUUCCGUCUCCCUAUGGAUAUCACUCAUUUGCAAGCUCUGUUAUCUGUUGUCUUUCAUACCUUGGAUGCCUAUUUGCUGAAAUUGCUCGACCAGAUAGUUGAGAAAAAUUACUUAUAUCCAUCAGCUCCUCCAUUGACUCGCUACAAGGAGACGACUAUUCCGGUGCUGAAAAAGAAGUUUCUUGAGUGUAUGCCUUUGGAUGACAAUGUGUAUGACAAGUUGAAUACUUUGACAAUACCCAAACUCUGUGUCCGAAUGAACACGUUGAAAUAUAUUCAGAAACAAAUUGACAUACUAGAAGAUGGUAUCAGAAAAUCUUGGGCUCUCAUCAGACAAUCAAUUGAUAAAACAUGUGCCAGAGAACAGCGUUUGGGAACUUCAACAUGCAAUGAACAAAUUGAUGAGCUCUUCUGCACCACCUUUGACAUCAUCAGGGAUAAUGCAGCAAAUGCCAUCAGUAAAAUUUGUGACUUUACUGGUGCAAAAGCUGUGUUCUGGGAUCUCAGACAUGCAUUCCUCUUUUGUUUAUAUUGUGGAAGCGUUGAAGCUUCUCGUUUGGAUGGUGUUCUCACACGCAUUGAUACUGUCCUUGGCCAUGUAUGCAGUUAUAUUGAUGAUUCUCUUAGAGACGCUGUGGUUUUAAGCAUCUGUCGAGCAUCACUGGAAGGCUUUGCGUGGGUUUUGCUUGAUGGUGGGCCUUCCCGUGCAUUUUGUGAUUCAGAUAUUGUACUAAUAGAGGAUGACCUUUCUGCAUUAAAGGAAUUUUUUGUAGCUGAUGGUGAAGGCCUUCCCCGAUCAGUAGUGGAGCAAGAAGCAAAGUUUCCUGAGGAAAUACUGAACUUGUAUUCACUGCAGACUGAAACUAUCAUCCAAAAGCUGAUGGCUGCAAGUGAACAAAUAUCAUUGGGGCUAGAUUCACAUGAUCAUAACUAUAUGCGAUUAAAUAAUGCCCACACUUUUGUGCGGGUGUUGUGCCACAAAAAAGAUAGAGAAGCCUCUAAAUUCUUGAAAAGGCAAUAUCAGCUCCCCAUGUCUUCAGAAUAUGAAGACACUCCAUCAACAGAUCCAACUUCCCAAUCACCUCUCAGAUCAGAUCUAUCAAAGCGAAGCAUGUCAGAUCUAGCAAAGCGAAGCACAUCAUUUCGUUGGAAUAAUACGCAUAGUACCUUUACCUCAUUUAAGAAGAAACUUCAAGAAGCAACAUCUGAAUUCAGGAAUGUGGCGUGGUAGUGCAGACGAGACAAUGUGCUGUAAGGCACCUUGCAUUCUCAUUUAGAUUCCUAGAGUGCACAGGGUAGGCUCUCCAUAACAGGUAAAAUGAGGCCAAGACUUUUGUUCCUAUAUUUGUAUAGGUGUAUCAAAAACUACUACCGCUACAGAAGGACCAAAAGAACAGAUACCAAAAGAUUAUCAGUUGGAGCGUUAGUUGUCCUGUAGUCCCAAAACUGGCAAAUAUGGGCCCUUGGAUUGGUGUGAAAUAGAUGGCCGACCUAAUCAAAGGAAACUUCACACAAAUAAUGGGAUUUGGGAUUUGCUAUGAUUAUGGGAAAAGGGUGCGUCCACAAAUCACUGAGCUUGGAGUUACUUGAAUUUACACUCUUUCAAUGUGGAAAGAUGAUUCAUUCCAAAAGGAAUGUGGAAAGUUUGGUGAUUCAUUAGUGGUGAAUACACGGAAUUUAACAGUUAUACAUGAUUAUUGGAUUGAUGUGCUUUACUUUAUUUGGCAAGAUUUUGACAACAAAUUACAAUUUACAACUUCUCAAACGACAAGGUGUACCUUCACUAGAUAUGACUCGAACUUUACGAUUGUUACAUUUUCCUUACGUUAAGCAUUAGAUGUGUACUCUUUAUCCACCAAAACAAGAUUUAGAAAUGCCAAAUUAUUGACAUUUAGCCUUUCACUUUCUGAAGAGUCAAGAGUCAAGUCGUUUGGUGCGGCGAGUAUGUGUCUGCGCCGGACCCGCUCUUAUCUCAACCAUUUUAUUGAGAUAUUCGGGAAUGAGGGAAUUAAAUAUGCGAGAUUUGGAAUCCCGUUUGAGCUAGUAUCGUAAGAUGGUAAUUUUUCAUUGACUUUUGUGAUGAUUUAUUAUAAACUAGAACCAAAAAAAAAAAAAAAAAAAAAAAAAAAAAACAUUUAUAAAA